GUGGAGCCUGCGGCUUAAUUUGACUCAACACGGGAAACCUCACCAGGCCCGGACACCAGAAGGAUUGACAGAUUAAGAGCUCUUUCUCGAUUUGGUGGGUGGUGGUGCAUGGCCGUUCUUAGUUGGUGGAGUGAUUUGUCUGGUUAAUUCCGGUAACGAACGAGACUCUGGCCUACUAAAUAGUCGACGGGCGUUUUGGUGCAUGGGCCCCGUUCGACACAGUCUUCUUAGAGGGAUGAGCAGCGAGUAUAGCUGCAGGAGAUUGAGCAAUAACAGGUCUGUGAUGCCCUUAGAUGUCCUGGGCCGCACGCGCGCUACACUGAAUGGGUUAGCGGGUUCUCCUUCUCCGAGAGGAGCGGGAAAUCGCGUGAAAACCAUUCGUGAUAGGGAUUGGGGCUUGCAAUUCUUCCCCAUGAACGAGGAAUUCCCAGUAAGCGCAAGUCAUCAGCUUGCGUUGAUUAAGUCCCUGCCCUUUGUACACACCGCCCGUCGCUACUACCGAUUGAAUGAUUUAGUGAGGCCUUCGGACUGGCGGUCUUGGACUGGGGCGCCGGAUCUUCCCCAGCAAUGGGGUGCCGGUGACUCGCCUCGACGGGCCGGAAAGAUGUCCAAACUUGAUCAUUUAGAGGAAGUAAAAGUCGUAACAAGGUUUCC
rnacentral:rRNA from 1 species